rnacentral:tRNA from 1 species
GGGGGUGUAGCUCAGCUGGUUAGAGCGCCUGCCUGUCACGCAGGAGGUCGCCGGUUCGAGCCCGGUCACUCCCGCCA